UCCUUAAAAUUAAUUCUCUCUCUUUGUUACUUCCUCAGUUAGGGCUCAAUGUAUUGAAACAAAAAAUAUUCCUUGAAAAAGAUGAAAUCCUCUUCAAGAUCGAGGAAUAAAUUAGGCAACUCUCUGAGCUCUUUGUUCCAUUAUCAUCAUAUGUUGCUUCAAUGGACCACCAUGAAGCAGAAACAACAAAACAAGGGCGGAACAUGAGGUGGCUGCUAUGUGUACUGGUUCUGUUGUCGAACUUGGAGUUGUUGAACUUGGAGUUGCUGUGUGUGCUGAAGUUUCUGAAACUGUUAUUUGUGAUGAAGUUUCUCAAGUUGCUGCUGUUGGUGUUUCUAAGAGAGGCCGGAGUAUGAAGAAAAAAAUUAUGAUUGACUAUGUUACUGCCGUGAUUAAAAAGAAGUCCAGGGUCUCUAGGAAGUAAAAAAUUAUGGAGUAUUUUGUGUUUUUGUAUUAAAUAUAUAGUUUGAAUGGCACAGAAUGUGCAUUUUGCAGUUUUCACUAUGCGGUGCAUUCUAAUUGUUUAUGUUGGCUUAUUAAGCAGUAUUUUGUUGGGUUGGUCUUACUUAAUAGCCAACAUUUUGGCAUAUAUUAGAAUGCACUGUUAUGAAAUGGUUUCACUUUAUUUA